UAGUUCGAAAAAAUUGGCUUGACUUUGAAACUGUAAAUUGUAAUUAUAUUUAGUAAUUAUAGUUUCAAGAUUUAAGGUUCUAAUAAAUUGUAAGAAAAGGGUAGUAGGUAUGUAGAUCAAAUAUGUAGAUCAAAUAUGACUGGCCUUGUUAUCGACAGCUCUCGAGACUCUUGUGGAUAAAAGAAUUACCGGCUUUCCUGUGAUUGAUGAUGAUUGGAAAUUGGUUGGUGUUGUUUCAGACUAUGACUUGUUAGCACUCGACUCUAUCUCAGGUGGUGGUCAAUCAGAUGUAAACCUGUUUCCUAAUGUUGAUAGCUCUUGGAAAGUAUGUAAUAGAACUCUUCUCUAUGAUUGCUCAUGCUCUCAUGCUAGUUUUGCCACUUUCUCCAUUAUUAGUUUCCGCGUACUAUAUAUUUUUGUAACAAAUUGUGGAAUGUUGCUGUUGUGAUUCUGGUGAUAGGCAUUACAUAGUCAUAUAUAGUUGUGAUUCUGGUGAUUGGCUAGAAUGUUGCUGUUGUGAUUCUGGUGGGAAUUGGUAGAUCUGUGACAAAUAUGUAUA